GCUCACUGGUCGAGUCGGCCUGCGCGGAAGAUGUAACGGGGCUAAACCAUGCACCGAAGCUGCGGCAGCGACACUAUGUGUUGUUGGGUAGGGGAGCGUUCUGUAAGCCUGCGAAGGUGUGCUGUGAGGCAUGCUGGAGGUAUCAGAAGUGCGAAUGCUGACAUAAGUAACGAUAAAGCGGGUGAAAAGCCCGCUCGCCGGAAGACCAAGGGUUCCUGUCCAA
rnacentral:rRNA from 1 species